rnacentral:rRNA from 1 species
UUUAUGGAGAGUUUGAUCCUGGCUCAGGAUGAACGCUGGCGGCGUGCCUAAUACAUGCAAGUCGAGCGAACGGACGAGAAGCUUGCUUCUCUGAUGUUAGCGGCGGACGGGUGAGUAACACGUGGAUAACCUACCUAUAAGACUGGGAUAACUUCGGGAAACCGGAGCUAAUACCGGAUAAUAUUUUGAACCGCAUGGUUCAAAAGUGAAAGACGGUCUUGCUGUCACUUAUAGAUGGAUCCGCGCUGCAUUAGCUAGUUGGUAAGGUAACGGCUUACCAAGGCAACGAUGCAUAGCCGACCUGAGAGGGUGAUCGGCCACACUGGAACUGAGACACGGUCCAGACUCCUACGGGAGGCAGCAGUAGGGAAUCUUCCGCAAUGGGCGAAAGCCUGACGGAGCAACGCCGCGUGAGUGAUGAAGGUCUUCGGAUCGUAAAACUCUGUUAUUAGGGAAGAACAUAUGUGUAAGUAACUGUGCACAUCUUGACGGUACCUAAUCAGAAAGCCACGGCUAACUACGUGCCAGCAGCCGCGGUAAUACGUAGGUGGCAAGCGUUAUCCGGAAUUAUUGGGCGUAAAGCGCGCGUAGGCGGUUUUUUAAGUCUGAUGUGAAAGCCCACGGCUCAACCGUGGAGGGUCAUUGGAAACUGGAAAACUUGAGUGCAGAAGAGGAAAGUGGAAUUCCAUGUGUAGCGGUGAAAUGCGCAGAGAUAUGGAGGAACACCAGUGGCGAAGGCGACUUUCUGGUCUGUAACUGACGCUGAUGUGCGAAAGCGUGGGGAUCAAACAGGAUUAGAUACCCUGGUAGUCCACGCCGUAAACGAUGAGUGCUAAGUGUUAGGGGGUUUCCGCCCCUUAGUGCUGCAGCUAACGCAUUAAGCACUCCGCCUGGGGAGUACGACCGCAAGGUUGAAACU